UACGUAGGGUGCGAGCGUUGUCCGGAAUUAUUGGGCGUAAAGAGCUCGUAGGCGGUGUGUCGCGUCGGCCGUGAAAACCUGCAGCUUAACUGUGGGCUUGCGGUCGAUACGGGCAUCACUGGAGUUCGGCAGGGGAGACUGGAAUCCUGGUGUAGCGGUGAAAUGCGCAGAUAUCAUUUGGAACGCCAAUGGUGAAAACAACUCGCUGGGGAAGUGCUGA
rnacentral:rRNA from 1 species